rnacentral:rRNA from 1 species
UGGGGAAUAUUGGACAAUGGGCGCAAGCCUGAUCCAGCAAUGCCGCGUGGGUGAAGAAGGCCUGCGGGUUGUAAAGCCCUUUAAGUGGGGAGGAACGGCGGGGAUGCGAACAGUGUUCUGCUCUGACGUUACCCACAGAAUAAGCACCGGCUAACUCCGUGCCAGCAGCCGCGGUAAUACGGGGGGUUGCAAGCGUUAAUCGGAAUUACUGGGCGUAAAGCGUGCGUAGGCGGUUUGGUCAGUCAGCCGUGAAAGCCCUGGGCUUAACCUGGGAACGGCGGUUGAGACGGCCAGACUCGAGUGGGCUAGAGGAUCGUGGAAUUCCCGGUGUAGCGGUGAAAUGCGUAGAGAUCGGGAGGAACACCGAUGGCGAAGGCAGCGGUCUGGGGCCACGACUGAC